rnacentral:rRNA from 1 species
AUUGAACGCUGGCGGCAUGCCUUACACAUGCAAGUCGAACGGUAACAGGUCUUCGGAUGCUGACGAGUGGCGAACGGGUGAGUAAUACAUCGGAACGCGCCUAGUAGUGGGGGAUAACUACUCGAAAGAGUGGCUAAUACCGCAUGAGAUCUACGGAUGAAAGCAGGGGAUCGCACGACAUUGUGCUACUAGAGCGGCCGAUGGCAGAUUAGGUAGUUGGUGGGAAAAAAGCUUACCAAGCCGACGAUCUGUAGCUGGUCUGAGAGGACGAUCAGCCACACUGGGACUGAGACACGGCCCAGACUCCUACGGGAGGCAGCAGUGGGGAAUUUUGGACAAUGGGGGCAACCCUGAUCCAGCCAUGCCGCGUGCGGGAAGAAGGCCUUCGGGUUGUAAACCGCUUUCGGACGGAAAGAAAUCGUUCUGGCUAAUACCCAGGAUGGAUGACGGUACCGUAAGAAGAAGCACCGGCUAACUACGUGCCAGCCGCCGCAGUAAAAC